rnacentral:lncRNA from 1 species
AUGUGCGGACAGAGGCCCUGGCCUGGCUGGGACUGGAAAGGCCACAGCAGGAAGAGGCCGAGAUGGUCGAGAGUCAUAAUUACUACCUGGAUGACGUUUCUGAUCUGCUGGAUGAGCUUCUGUCAAAGAUUCAUGCUUUGUCUGACAGCCUACAGCUUCCUCUUCCAGAGCAGCAAUUCUGUGAUAUGCGAGAGGCCAGGGCAAAAGGUCAUUCCUCAGCGGGUAUUUCUGCCUAACAAGCCACUGGGCUGGGAUCCACAAAAAUACUGAGAAACAGAAGUGGGAAUUCCAUCUUCCCAGACACCAGGAAAUAUCCAUGCCCCAGAACAUGACCAAGAAGCCCCCAAGUGGUGGCCACUGCAGAGAAAAUUAGACCAAAAGGAGAGAGGACCCUGCCAUUUCCAAGAGCACACAGAGUUCUCCAAUCUCAACAGCACACAAAGGCCCCUGGUUUGGAAGAAAAGAGAAUACAACACAGAACAGCUAAAAGAACCCCUUGGAACACAAGUGUUGAGGACACAGGGCUGAUGGGAAGCCAUCUGUUGAAGAAACCAUCUGUUGAUGUGGUAGCCAGAGAAAGGCUGUUGGUGGCCCACAGACCUGGAGCCACACAGACACACAUGCUGGGGUAGCCACACAGUGAAAAGACAGGUGAGCAUGGGGCUCCAGUGUGUUCUCAGGGGGUUCCCUGAGAUCCAGAGAGACUCUGUGGAGCCCAGACCAGCCACAGUCACAAAACCCAGUGUCAUGGGCGUGCUCCCUGGCCACUGUGGGAUGGACCCCUUCGUGCAGAAGUGGGCACUCAUAACAAACUCAAAUCAUCAUGGGAUGAUGUGUCAUGCUACCCAAGAAGUAGUCGUUAAAGAUGACCGUGAGGAGGACCAGGCCUAAAAAGGAUUGCCACACACAGGUCAGAUCAUAGGCAUGAUGUUCUCCACACACAAGACUAAAUGCACAGAGAAGUCACUUCUCUGAAAUAAGAGUACAGAGCCAAGAUGUCAGAGCUAAAGAGUGUUUGGGAGCACAAAGGGGAAUUGACAGAGUCGAGGAAAGAACGGGAACAGAUGCCAGAAACACAGGCUGAGCAAAAGGAAAACAUAACCGAGUCACAAAACGGAGAGUGGAGGAUAUGGAUGGCAAGUUUGAGAAUACUCCACAAAAUAGGAUCUAAGAAACAAAAAGUUAAAAUUGACUUUAGGGGAAAUCAUACACAUAGAAGUCAGACAAAAAGAAGUCAAAGAAAGGGCGUGUGUAACUAGUGUCUGCCUCUCCCUCACAGAGAAGGAAGUUUGAGCAGAAAAGAAAAAUAUUUAAAGAUAUAAUUUACGAAAACUUUCCUGAACUAAAGAUAUAGAUCUAUAUAUUUAAAGAGUGAUUGUAUCCCAGGGAAGAAAUGGAUUCUGUGGAUUCCAAUCUAUUAAAACAAGAACCAAUCCUAAUAAAGUAACUAAAGAAAUAUCUUACUGACAUCCAAAUGCCUUCCCUCCUCCCGAAAAUCAAGUCACUUCCAAGUAGUUAAAAUUUUUUAACGGUUAUUUACUAAUUACUAUUUAAGUUAUGAGAAACUACUUAAAUGUAUAUGCCAGUAGAAAACUGGGCAAAUGAUAGGAAAAACAGAAUUGUUACAGAAUAGGAAAUAUGGCAUCCAUAUUUGAACUUUGAAGAGAAAGAAUCUAUUAAAAAAAAAAAGCACAGGUGCCCCUUACUAUCUUUGUAACAUGAAAUAAUGGAAAGGCUCAAUACAAAAUUUCAGAAGAAAGAUGAUUCUGUGCAUUUGUAUUCAUUCACACCGUGAGGUCAAUGAUAUUAUUUCUAGAUUAUAGAGUUAAAACAAAGGACAAUGUAUACCACUAACUUAGCGCUCAGAGGAAAAUAGGGCAUGUUAUGGAGUAGCAGCCAAUGAAAGUGAAGUAAAUGUGUCUUCAACUGAAAUCAUCAGAAAAAUGUGGACGUGCACAAAUGCACAUGCACACACAUACACACAUGCACACACGCGUGUACAUGCACAUUCGUACAUACUCAUGCACACGCAUGCACACAUAUGUAUACACGUGCAUGCAUGCACGCGUACACUAAGUAAAGCUAGAAGGAAGGAAUUUGUAAGAUGAAAUGCAAUUUAAUUAAAUC